rnacentral:rRNA from 1 species
ACGAACGCUGGCGGCGUGCUUAACACAUGCAAGUCGAACGGAAAGGCCCUUGCUUGCAGGGGUACUCGAGUGGCGAACGGGUGAGUAACACGUGGGUGAUCUGCCUUGUACUUCGGGAUAAGCCUGGGAAACUGGGUCUAAUACCGGAUAGGACCAUGCUUUAGUGUGUGUGGUGGAAAGUUUUUUCGGUACAAGAUGAGCCCGCGGCCUAUCAGCUUGUUGGUGGGGUAAUGGCCUACCAAGGCGACGACGGGUAGCCGGCCUGAGAGGGUGUACGGCCACAUUGGGACUGAGACACGGCCCAGACUCCUACGGGAGGCAGCAGUGGGGAAUAUUGCACAAUGGGCGCAAGCCUGAUGCAGCGACGCCGCGUGAGGGAUGACGGCCUUCGGGUUGUAAACCUCUUUCGCUAGGGAAGAAGCCACUUGUGGUGACGGUACCUGGAUAAGAAGCACCGGCUAACUACGU